rnacentral:rRNA from 1 species
AUUGAACGCUGGCGGCAGGCCUAACACAUGCAAGUCGAGCGGGGUUUUCGGACCUAGCGGCGGACGGGUGAGUAAUGCGUAGGAAGCUGCCCGAUAGAGGGGGAUACCAGUUGGAAACGACUGUUAAUACCGCAUAAUGCCUACGGACCAAAGUGUGGGACCUUCGGGCCACAUGCUAUCGGAUGCGCCUACGUGGGAUU